rnacentral:rRNA from 1 species
UACGAAGGGGGCUAGCGUUGCUCGGAAUCACUGGGCGUAAAGGUUGCGUAGGCGGUCGGGUAAGUCUGGCGUGAAAUCUCCAAGCCUAACUUGGAAACUGCGUUGGAUACUAUCCGGCUCGAGGAAUGGAGGGGAGACUGGAAUACUUGGUGUAGCAGUGAAAUGCGUAGAUAUCAAGUGGAACACCAGUGGCGAAGGCGAGUCUCUGGACAUUUCCUGACGCUGAGGCACGAAAGCCAGGGGAGCAAACGGG